UGGGUCACCCUGUGGCUUACCCCGGGCUCUGGCCCGCAGAUGCUCCCCCGGGGCCAGCUCAGAGCCCUAGCCAAGGGUCGUGGGGGCUGCGGGAGCUAGUACGCAGAGCUGGGGCACCCACAGCAGCAAGGACGAGGCUCCACCUGGUCUGAAAGAUCCAAGAGGCAUCUGCAGUCUGUCCAGGGAAAGUGAUGGGAGAUGAGGAAUUAAAACCUGGAGCACAGCAGAAGAGGCUCUGAGCCCAAGCCAUGUGUCCAGCCCUUUGACUCUGGAGUUGCAGAUUCAGCCACCAAGAGCAGCGGUGGACCCUGGAGGCCUGAGGACCCAGACUUCUCCGCCAUGGAGGAUGAGCAGGCAGGUGUCCGACUGCCGAGAUGGGCAGGAGUUGACU